ACUUACUAAGAUCGACCAGUGGUGUGAAACAACAUUUAUUCAUCAUGGAGAAUUCACCGAAUGAUGAAUAUACUUUAAAGCACUUCUAUUACCCACUCAAUAUAUCAGAUGAUCAAGAUAUGAGUGACAAUAACAAGACCGCAAUGAGAAGGAGCAACAGUAUAGAUGCUUUUUUUGAAAAGCAAAAGAAAAAGAAGAGACAGUCAAAGUCUUCAUGUGUAGCGCAAGCAAGUGACGGGGGCCUAUCAUAUAUCUCAUCCAACGACGAUGACAGUAUCAGUGCAACACAUCUAAUCAAAAUAGACAUCUAUGACAUGAAGAGAAUUAAAGAUGUUUCGCCUCUUGAAUACUGGAAAUAUGCAGAUUUGCGAUUAAAGUACUACGUUGAAUCUGCUGGUGAUAAGCACUAUCAAAGCAUGCGAGAUAUUAUAUACAACAUUACAAAGCAAAUCGCUGGGAAGCAUGACUGUAAAAAAUACUUUAUUGACAGAGAUAACCAGAAACAAUAAGUAUUCUCUGAACCAGCGGUCGGUAAACAUCACAAAGUAAAAAGACCCUCUAUACGAACCCAUGAAAACUUAAGUGCUUAUUACCUGUAUUUUAAAAAUAUUUUUCUUUAUCUAUUUGCUAUCCCCACUGCUUCAUGCAAGCGAAACUAAUAUAAAAGCUAUCCUUUUUCUUAAAUGUACUUCAUAUUCUAAGUUACCACACAAAACUGCACAAUGACUGUCGAACUCAACGACUUUGUUUACGAAGAAGAAAUGGUUGAGCUAUGUCAAGCAGCGGAAGUUGAAUUUGACUUAGUGAACCUGUGUAUACAAGUAGAAACCGAUCAAGCUGCUUUAUCAAGACAAAGUGGAGGAGGUGUAAAAAGAAAAAUUGCUGUCACAAAAUAUUCUUCGAGUAAGCGUCCAUUUUCUCAAGAGCCUUCAA